UGAUUAUUGCAUUUUUGUAGCUGUAGAAAAAUGUUAAAAACAUAAUUUUAGAAAGAACCAUUUAUAAUAUCAAAACUGUAAUUGGGAAAAAAUCUGAAAGAAUGUAUAACCUUAAGAAAAAUUUUUUGAAUGACAUUGAGGAUUACUUAAGUAAAUGAAGUGAUAGCAUAUGUUCAUGGAUAGGAAAAUUUAACAUUAUAAAGAUGAAUUCUCUUCAGUUUCUCUAUUAUAUAGUCAAUGCAACUCCAAUAAAAAUCUCAAUCGGAUUAUGUGAAGCUUUGAUAAACUGAUUUUUAAAUUCACAAAGAAGCAUCAACAAUAGACAAUAUGCUUCUGAAAAAGAAGCAUAAGGAGAGAGGAUCUGCACUUUAUUAUGAAGCUGUAGCAGUUAAGACUAUAUGGUACAAACCUAGUGAGAGACAAAUUGACCAGUAGAUUAGAAAAGACAGCCCAGAAACAGAUUCACUCAAAUACCAAACUGAAAUACAGUAGAGCUAGCAUGGGAGCUAGAUGGGUAAAGGAGGAACUUUUUAUUAAAUAAAGCCAAGAAAAAAUUGUUACUGUAGCAGAGGGUUUUUUUUGUGUCCACCAGAAACAAAUAAUAAAAUGUCUUACUCAGAGUCACACUUUCAAUAAAUGAUUCUGACCCUUAACUUCUAUAUACAAUCCUCAUUGUGUUACCUUUAAGAAGCUGCUUAACUCCCUUGGGUCUUCAUUUCAUCAUUCAUAAAAUUGGAAUAGCAUCUACCUGCAGUUCUUCUCAGGCUGUCGAAGCAGGGAGAAGCAAAGAGUCUGCUUUUAACAUUUUGGUUUCUGGUUUUUGAAGUAUCACAUAGGAUGAAGAGGGGAAAGAAAAGAAAUGUGACAUUCCACAUGGCGCCACUAGGUGGCAGUCGAUGAUUAUUGUGGGGCUCGUAUCACCCUUGACUGGCCAGCAGGGGGCUGACGUCCAUGAAGUUUGGAAAGCGAUCCAAUUUGAAGUAGGAUAGCAAAGGGACCCAUGUUACUUCUGGGUGGUUAUUCAUGGAUGGUAGUAAGGACAGCUAUUCCUGCCAGUGUAGGGCAGUGUCUAUGAAACCAGCCUCUGGAAUGGUCAUUCCCAGUCUCAGAUUCUGGAUCUAACAGGAUUACUAACUUAACUUUGCUACCAGUUACGUUGCUUAACCUCACUGACCCUCAGUUUCUUCACGUGUGAGAUGGUGUUGCCCGCUUAUGGGGUUGUUUCGAGGUCCUCAAACACAAGCGAGUGCUCAGCACAUGGUAAGAGCCCUAGGAUUACCAGCAACGCGCUCAUCCUCGUCGCCAUCAUCUUUAUCAUCCCAUUCCUUUCCCACACUUCAGAGCCUCUGAAUCUUGGUCCUGAAAUUCAAGUCCCCAAGGCCAGCAGGGUCUGAAGCUGCUCAGGCCACGUCUUCCCCUGUGAGGCUUUGGGGCAGAGCACCGGGCCCGAACUGGCUCUUCAGGGCGAGCCCAUUUCCACUUCUGCUGCUGCAUCUCUGUGAGAGUAGAUACCUUGUGGAAACAUGGGCUGUAAACUGUAAAGCCCUCUAAAGGUGUAAAGCGUCGUUAUAGCUGGUAUAAUUCUCUCGACUCUUACAGGGCUACUGGGUAAGAAGAAAAGAAUGAGACUUAUGGCCCUUGGGUCCCCGCUGAGGGCAGUUCCCCUUCACGGCUUCCUAGCUUCAGGGAGCCCAAGUGACUCCCAUGUCACCCUCUCCUCCCCAAAUUCCUGGUGAGGCCUGGCUGCCACCUGGUGAGGCCUGCCAGUCUGGUUUUCUCUGGCUUCCCUCUGCCGUGUUUGGCCAGUGCAGGGCGGGUAGGGGGUGUGUGAACGCCGUGGUGAUGGGUUGGGCAGCCGGCUGAGGAGGGGGAGGGCAAAGGUGCAGGCCCAGGCCUGGGUUCAGCUUCAGCCUGGAGCUCCCUGAGGCGGGAGUUGCUGGAAGGAGGACACUCGUGGGGCUGGGGCCCUACAGUUCUCUGUACUACGCCAGCUCCUGAUAUGGGGCCAGACUUAAGAAAACCAGUACUGGGGGGCUUCCCUGGUGGUGCAGUGGUUAAGAAUCUGCCUGCCAAGGCAGGGGACAUGGGUUCGAGCCCUGGUCCGGGAGGAUCCCACAUGCCACAGAGCAACUAAGCCCGUGCGCCGCAACUAUUGAGCCUGCGCUUUAGAGCCCACGAGCCACAACUGCUGAGCCCACGUGCCACAACUACUGAAGCCCGCGCGCCUGGAGCCUGUGCUCCGCAACAAGAGAAGCCACGGCAAUGAGAAGCCCCAUGCACCGCAACAAAGAGUAGCCCCCGCUCGCCGCAACCAGAGAAAGCCUGCGUGCAGCAACGGGGACCCAACACAGCCAAAAAUAAAUAAAUAAUUUUUUUUUAAAAAAGGAAACCAGUACCAGGGAGCUGGGCGCAUGCCCAGUUUACAGAUAACUGUGCAGUUUGCAGUUAUGCUUUAGGAGAAUGGAGGGGAGGGGCUUGCUGGAGCAGAAUAUGUUCCAGAGUAUAAAGGUCUGUGCAGUAUCGAGCCACCUUCUCACAUGCCUUUCAAACGCUGAACUGUUCCUGCCUCAGAGGCACUCUGUGUGCAGGCCUGCCAUUGCUCUGUGCUUGCCACUCUUCUCUGCCACCUGGAUCUGCCUUUAUCCUUUAGGCCCAGUCAAGUUCCCUUCUUGGAAUACGUCCUGGCUCACAGGGCGCUUUCCUUGGCUGACUCCUGCAGCCCCUGCGAGCCACCCCAUAGAAGUGACACAGCACAUCCUGCUCUAUAAUGACAUUCAUGAGUCUGUCCUCCAGGUUGGAAACUCCCCAAGAGCAGGGACCACGUCAUUCAGUCAUUGGUUCAUUCAUCCAUUUGUUCAGCAAAUAUUGAUUGAGCACCUGUUGCCUGGAGGGCCCUGUUUUUGGUGCUGGUAUUUGCACAGGAAGCCAGGCCUGAAAUCCGGCUCCUGACUCCUGCCUGGCCCAGUGCUCUUUCCAACAGCCCCUCUGCCCCACCCUCAUGCCCCAGAGCCUGGCCCUCUGGUUGGACUUCAGGCAGGCAGGGUUCAGGGCCCACCUUCCUCUCAGCCCAGACAGGCAAUCCCCUGUGUUUGGACGGCUGGGAGGCACCUCUCCACCAUCUCUGGACGCUACCAAUCAAGGAGCGAUAGGGAGACAUCCUUUCCUCUCUGGUCUCUGCAGCCUCCCACGGUGUCCAUGGGCACCAGGUCCAGGCUCGCCGGGUCUGGCUGGAGCCCUGGUCAGCCACUCCUGGCCACGGGACCUCGGGCAACUCGCUACCUCUCUAAGCCUGGUUUCCUCACGUCUAAAAAGGAGAUAGCAAGAGUAUCUUCUCCCUGAGAGUUUUCUGAGAUUCUACACGUUCGAGAAAUGGUAGUUCCUGUGCUCCCCUGCCCCACUCCCAACCAUAGGCCCGAGGUCUGCAGUCAACUCCCGUCCACGGCAGGCCCCAACCUAGCAGACUCGGAGUUAGGAGGCCCAUCUCUCUCCUCUAGCACCCAGCCCUAGAUAGAGUAAUAAUAAUAAUAAUAAUAAUAGUUACAUCUCUCUUUUUGGUAGUACGUACUCUGUGCCAGGCACUGUUACAAGCACUUCACAUGUAUUAACUUGUAUAAUCUUCACUACAGCCAUAUGAAGGGAGUACCAUUAUCACCCCCCUUUUCCAGAUGAUGAAAGUGAGAGACAGAGAGGUUAAGCAACUUGCCCAAGAUCACACAGCUAAUAAGUAGCCAUCAGAAAGCAAGAGAUACUCUGUGUAAUUAUUGUAGCGCUUGUUGCCACAGCAAUGGCCAAGGUAAAAAGGUAAGCCUAGGAUAUGUGAAGUGGGGCAUAAAAGAUGUCCAACACACGUAGGCCCCUUCCCAAGGCACCCAGAUGCCCUGUGAGCCCAGCCUCUGCUGUCUCAUGCUCCAUUUGGGCCCACUGGGCUGUGCUGCAUGGUGUCAGAAGCGGGUGGUCCAUGCCCCCUCUCCUGGGUACACAGGGCUUCCAGGGAAUUCUCCCAGUUUGCCUGAGCCCACAAUCAUUCACUGCUCUUUGAAGUGAAAACCACCGUGCUCACACCCGCCCCCCCAGGAGUAAAUCAUCAGGUUCCCAAAUAUGUUUCCGAGUGUAAAUUUCCUCCAAAACGUUUAACUCUAAGCACUUCCUAAAUUGCUUAUGAGAGUCCGAAAUGCCAUGUUCCAUCCUGCUUCUGUUCUAAGGAUCAAAGCAGGGGCAACAGCCAGAGAAAUGCCGGGCUGAGGGGCCGUUCAGGACAACUCAGCCACCGGGGGCGGGGCGGGGCGGGGGGAUUUCUUAAGAGCCCGUAGCACCCUCAGCUCACUCAGGGCUCUUGGUGGUACAAAGACAGAAGCAGGAGGGCAGGGCUCACGUCUGCUGUCUCAGCACUGAGGUUCUGUACAAGAUUUCAUUUGGAAGGAGGUUCUGUGCUAAAAAUAAAAAUUGCUACUGGGCUACAUUAUCACUAAGGUCUUCAUGGGCUCCCAUCUCCUGGGGCUCGUUUGUUCAUUCCACAAAUAUCACUUGAAUGCCAGGACCUCAGAGGCACAGAAGAUCCCGUGGUGGAUAAAAGUGUUAUAGUCUCCGCCCUCGUGGAGGUCAAAACCCAAGAUGGAAAAAGACAAAAAGCAAGAAAACAAUGAUUAAAUAAAAUAAUUACACAAUGUGGUGGGUACCAUGAAGGAAAUCAACAUGGUGAUGGGAUCUGGAGUAACCUGGGGCCUUCUCUGAGAAGUUUAAGCUGAGCCCUGGAGGAUGAAAAGGAACCAGACUUGGCGAGAACCAGGGGAAGAGCAUUCUUGGUGUGGGGAACCGCAGGUGCAAAGGCCCUGUGGCAGAAAAGAGGUAAGCGUCUACUAUGGCUGGAGCAGAGGGAGGGAGGGAGAAGGACGGCCUGAGUUGGGUUUAUUCUAAAUGCACAGUCAUUGAAGAGUUCUAAGCAAGGGUGAGCUACUAUCCAUUUACAGUUAAAAGAUCACUUUUCUGCUGAGGGGAGAAUGCCUUGCAGGAGGCAAGGAGAUCCAUUAGGAAGCUGCUGUAGGAGAGGAGGACAAUGGGCUGCGGGUGGCUGUAGAGAGGAGGCAAGUGGACGGUCUGAGUCGGAGCUGGUUAGAUUUGCUGAAGGACCUGGUAUGGGGGGGCGGAUGCAGGGGUGAGAAUCAGAUGUUCUGAAAAUGUACAACAGACCCCGUUUUCCCACCUGCAUGAGGUGGGUGUUCCCAGAGACGCCUCCUCCUUUGCCCUGACUGCCCGGUGGUCUUCUCUUUGUUCUGCGUCACCUGCCACACUGGUUUCUCUGUGCUCAGAUACUCCGAGCUCGUUUCAGCCUCCAGACCUUUGCACUGCCUGGGACGCUAGUCCCUGAUCUCCUCGUGGUCGGUAACUUCUUGUCUUGGGGGCCUGAGCUCAGCCAUCCCCUCCCCUAGCCACCUUCUCUGAACACACAACUGGUACCCCCUACUCAGACCCCCUCCACCCAGGCACUCUCUAUCACGUCACCCUAUUUUAUGUUCUUUCACUAUCUGAAAGGAUCUUGCCCAUUUACCUGCUUGUUCUUUUCCCCACCUGGCUCCACUAGAAUGCAGACUCCGCGAAGGCAGACAGAACAGCGCCUGUCUCCGUCAACUCCCCCCACGCGCAGGGGUGGCUGGGGGCGGCCCUGCAGUGCUAGAUAUGCCCACAAGAGGGCGCCCAUAAAUUUCCUUUUCAGUUUCUGGCUGGAAAAUCUCCCAGGAGUAAAACUAACAGAACCCUAACUGAAAUUUCACAAUUUGCCUAGUAUCUGUAGUAUAUACCCAUACUGUCAUGUAUCAUGGUCUUUCAUGUUUCUGGGAGUAAAAUAAAAUGUUUUUCUGUGGGAUUUUGAGAUACCGCCUUGAGACGGGGAAGGGAAUCUGCAUGGGACCCUGGCUCACUCCCACACCUCUUCUCUGCUAAGCUUUCACUGACUCUUACUUGAGCCAGCUUGUCCUUAUGUCUCCACUGAUUGUAGCCAGAGACAGAUUAUCUUCAGCUAGAUGGAACCUAAAUUAACAUUUUCUUGACCAUAAAUAUAUAUUUGGCUAUGACGCAGAGAUUUCCCAACCAACUGGGUAAGACUAAGGAAAUGUCAGUUAAGAUCAAUCAGUGAAGGCUGGUAAGGGUUUGACAUAAUAAGGGAGCAGAAAGCGCUGGUUGGUGAUUGAGCAUUGCUGUAAUUGGAGGCAGCUGUGAAGCAGCAGAAGGAGCGCGGGGCCAAGAUGGGAGCACAGGAGUGAGUCCUAUUUUGUAUCCUGGUUCUUUUGACUUCUAGACACUUGAUGAUGGCUGUGAGCCUUCUUCUCUGUUUGUGAGAACGAUAGUGCUCUGGCGGACAUGAAAGGUGCUUUGUAAACAGAUGCCACACUCAGGAGCAACAUCUGCUAUAAGAAGAUGCAGAAGACAUGGAGCCAUCAGAAAAAUCACUGUCAAAAGAGGCUCAGUGAAGAUUUUCCCCAGAGUGGACGUCCCUGAUGGGUGGCUGGUAGUCCUGGGUGCUUUGCUUGGACUGAAGGUAUUUAAUGCAACCACCCCGCCCCCAUUUCAAAUGAUCCUGAGGCUUAGAGUUCAGUGGUCUACGCAUUUCUUUUUUUAGGCUUUACCACGUGCCAGACCUUGUGCAAAGCAGGGUGAGGGACGUAAAGAUGGAUGUGCACCAGAAGCCCGUGGCCAAGUAGAGGAAAGAGGAUCUACCAAGAACUGCAAGGCUGACUCUAAGAGGUCAGUGUUUGUGAGCCUGUUUUGUUUUUUUGCGGUAUGCGGGCCUCUCACUGUUGUGGCCUCCCCCGUUGCGGAGCACAGGCUCCGGACGCGCAGGCUCAGCGGCCAUGGCUCACGGGCCCAGCCGCUCCACGGCAUGUGGGAUCUUCCCGGACCGGGGCACGAACCCGUGUCCCCUGCAUCGGCAGGCGGACUCUCAACCACUGCGCCACCAGGGAAGCACUGGUGAGCCUGUUUGAUUAAAGUCUGUCUCUUGCUGCUAGACAGGAAGCCGCAGGAAGCCAGGGGAUAGGGUUUUUGUCUUGUUCCAUAUUGAAUCCCCAGUGCUGAAUGGUGCUUGGUCUGUGAUAGGAACUCAGUAUAUACUUGCAGAAUGAGGGAAAUAGUGUCAUCUAAAAGAGAUUAAGAAAAUGUGCUGUGGGGGUUGGAGAGGUAGAGAUUAGUCUCAGCUGGGGACAUCACAUGAUCAAAACUGAGAGGGACCAUCAAGGUUAGGGUUAGUGUUCCCACUGCUGCUCUCAGGCCCAUUUUACAAAUGAGGAAACUGUCACAGAGGGGAAAAGGGAUUUGCCCAGGGUCACACAGUGUUAAGGGCCGAAUUUUGCCCCUUCACCCCCAAUUCAUAUAUUGAAGUCUUAACACCUAAUACCUCAGAACGUGACUGAAUUUGGAAGUAGGGUCUUUAAAGAAGAAAGUUAAAAUGAGGUGAUUUUGGGGCCCUAAUCCACAUGACUAGUGUCGUUAUAAGAAGAGGAGAUUAGGUCACAGAUAACAUGCACAGAGGGAAGAUGAUGUGAAGACACAGGGAGAAGACGGCCGUCUGCAAGCCAAGGAGAGAGGCAUUAGAAGAAACAACCCUGCUGACACCUUGAUCUUGGACUCUGGCCUUUAGAAUUGUGAGAAAAUAAAUUUCUGUUGUUUAAGCCAGCCAGCCUGUGGUAUUUUGUUAUGGCAACCCUAAGCCAACUAAUACACACAGUAAAGUUUGGACUAGAAGCCAGGUCUGCUGAAUCUCUCUCCUAAGCCCUUUACAUGACACCAUCCAGAUGGUCCAUUUGGUACUCUCUCCAACACCCACUGCUGAUGAGGAGGAUGACGAUGAUAACAGCUAACGCACGUAUACUGCCUAUCAUGUAUCACACACGCUUCUCAGUACUUUACACACAAUAGCUCAUUUAGUUCUCCCAACAGCCCUGUUAAGUAAGCAUUAUUUAUUGUCCCAUUUAAAAAAAAAAUUAUUUAUUUUAUUUAUUUUUGGCUGCGUUGGGUCUUCGUUGCUGCGUGCAGGCUUUCUCUAGUUGCGGUGAGCAGAGGCUACUCUUUGUUUCGGUGCAUGGGCUUCUCACUGUGGUGGUUUCUCUUGCUGUGGAGCACAGGCUCUAGGAGCACGGGCUUCAGUAGUUGUGGCACGUGAGCUCAGUAGUGGUGGCUCGCGGACCCUAGAGCGCAGGCUCAGUAGUUGUGGCGCACGGCCUUAGUUGCUCCACGGCAUGUGGGAUCUGCCCAGAGCAGGGAUCGAACCCCUGUCCCCUGCAUUGGCAGGAGGGUUCUUUAACCACUGUGCUACCACGGAGGUCCCUAUUUUCCCAUUUUUACAGAUGAGGAAACUGAAACACAAAGAGAUUGAGCAACUUGCCCGAGAGCAUAUGACAACUCAGUGCUUGUACUGGGAUUCAGGCCCAGGCAGUCUGCUCCAGGAACGUGCCCUCACCCAUCUGGCUGUUCUCCAGUGUUAUGUCUACAUGCCAAGCCAGAGGCAUUUUCAAAGAUGAGAGGUAAUGAUGGCCCUUUGAGGCCUCACUGGGUUUGCUUUCCUAUAGCCAUAAAUUAUGGAUAUACUCAUCCCAAUCUGAAGUGGCUCACUGGAAGCAUAAAACAAACAAGCAGAGGGAAGCAGGAGCCUUGCUAAAGAGUAGAGCAUUAGGAUUUAUUUGUUCCAGAAUCUUCUUAUAUGUUAGGACAUCAGUGAGGAAACAUUGAAAUAGCAGAUUUCAAGCCUCCCUCAAGCAAAAACAUCUUUUUUUUUUUUUUUGCAGUACGCGGGCCUCACUGUUGUGGCCUCUCCCGUUGUGGAGCACAGGCUCCGGACGCGCAGGCUCAGCGGCCAUGGCUCACGGGCCCAGCCGCUUCGCGGCAUGUGGGAUCUUCCCGGACCGGGGCACGAACCCGUGUCCCCUGCAUCGGCAGGCAGACUCUCAACCACUGCGCCACCAGGGAAGCUCCAGCAAAAACAUCUUCUAAUUCAGUCCUUAAAAGUGAAACAACCAAACCGCUUCAGCCAAAGCCCUUUGCAGUAAGAGGCCUGGGUUUGAAUCCUUUCUCAACCACUUACCAGCUGAGUGACUUGGGGUUUAUGAAAUCCAUCUGAACCACAGUUUUUCCUUCUGGGAGAUGGGGAAAAUGACACCCAUCUCAUGGAUUAGACAUAAUAUAUUCAAAAACAUUGUCACAGGUGCCUAUACAUAGUAAGUGAUCAAUAAACAGAACUCUUGUUAGCUAAGCAAAAUGACCAUACCUAAAGGCUCUCCUCUGUGAAGCCUUGCCCAAUGUCUCAUCCUGUCUGUCCAAAUUCAUUGCUUGCUCUACUGGCUCUUGAGGGAAGUUGCUUGCACUUCUAUUUGUCACUCAGUUUGUCCUUCCUUCCAUCAUAGAAGUUGAUGACACACCUAUCCAUCUGUGCAUCCACUCAGUAAAAUUGUAGCAUUUUUUUAAUGUCCCAGUGCUGUGCCAGGCACUGGAAGUU